ACGGGGAAUACAGACAUACGUGUAAACAAGUGUCAGAUUGCAACUAAUUGAACGUCAGGAAUGUUUGAAAUGGAUCUUAACAGAAGCCAUCUGACAACAGUUAUACCGAGAGGCCGCCCGCAACAAACCUACAGAGAACCGAAUGAAGAGAAAGUUGCUGACAAUGUUGUCUGUUUGUUUGCUCUUAAUUUUGGCUUCCCUUGCAGUGGCAGAAGAAUCGAAUUAUGCUGGAAA